CCUCAUGCUCACAUGCAGAUGAGACCGAUGGGUACAGCGACAGAAAAGCACACAAGCCUCUCUGCUCACUGACCAAGGUGGAGUGGAAGAGACAGGCGAGGCUCCCCAGAGGAAGUGACACUGAGCUGAGACCUCAGAAGGUGAGGAGGCAAAAAAGGCCCUCUAGUAGCUGUUGCCUUCCUGAAGCUCAGGAUGCAUAUGCACAAAGAGAGCUCUGUCUGGCUCACGGAUUGUGGACACCUGGUUGACCUCUUGAUGCCUGCGUAUCACGUCUAGCUCCUAAGUCUCCCUUCUCCCACUGCAACAUCAUGCGGUGGCCACGCCUCCCACAACACGCCGUGGGCAUCAUCAGAGGAACAGCAGCUGAUGGGAACGACCCCCUCCACAGCUCCAAGAGAGCCUUUAACACGCACCUGUGCCCGUGCUUCUGGGAGAAGGUCACACACAGUACUCCAUGCCCUCUGACCCUGGAACUCUGCCUGUGAGGCGGUCUGAAACCUCCAGCACCACCCCCCAGCUAUGUGUC